UACGAAGGGGGCUAGCGUUGCUCGGAAUGACUGGGCGUAAAGGGCGCGUAGGCGGCUCAUACAGUCAGAUGUGAAAUUCCUGGGCUUAACCUGGGGGCUGCAUUUGAUACGUGUGGGCUUGAGUGGGGAAGAGGGUCGUGGAAUUCCCAGUGUAGAGGUGAAAUUCGUAGAUAUUCGGAAGAACACCAGUGGCGAAGGCGACACACUGGCCCGUUACUGACGCUGAGGCGCGAAAGCGUGGGGAGCAAACAGG
rnacentral:rRNA from 1 species